rnacentral:lncRNA from 1 species
AUCUCUCAGAUUCGAUCAAGACAGCAGACUCCGUCAAUUCCUGACUCUUACCAAAUACCUCUUUUCCCCCAGGGACAAAGAGCAUCAUCCAAAAGGCCAAAUAAAUAACAGCCAUGGGAAACAAUAAGGAAUUCAGAAAUGGAAGAUUUGCAUAAAAACAGAAAUUAAACAGUAUCAGAUAGACAAAGAAGCCACAGGCCAGUGUAUGAACAAGAGAGAAAAAGAGGCAACAACUAGUAAGAAAAUGAGGAUCUCAGUCAUACAAGUUCAAGAAAAUGAAUUCUGCCAAUAACCUAAGAGAGC